rnacentral:rRNA from 1 species
GACGAACGCUGGCGGCGUGCCUAAUACAUGCAAGUCGAGCGGACUUUCAAGAAGCUUGCUUUUUGAAAGUUAGCGGCGGACGGGUGAGUAACGCGUGGGCAACCUGCCUGCAAGACGGGGAUAACUCCGGGAAACCGGGGCUAAUACCGGAUAAUAUCUUCCUUCGCAUGAAGGAAGGUUGAAAGGCGGCGCAAGCUGCCGCUUGCAGAUGGGCCCGCGGCGCAUUAGCUAGUUGGUGAGGUAACGGCUCACCAAGGCGACGAUGCGUAGCCGACCUGAGAGGGUGAUCGGCCACACUGGGACUGAGACACGGCCCAGACUCCUACGGGAGGCAGCAGUAGGGAAUCUUCCGCAAUGGACGAAAGUCUGACGGAGCAACGCCGCGUGAGCGAAGAAGGUCUUCGGAUCGUAAAGCUCUGUUGUCAGGGAAGAACAAGUACCGUUCGAACAGGGCGGUACCUUGACGGUACCUGACCAGAAAGCCACGGCUAACUACGUG